AGAGUUUGAUCCUGGCUCAGGACGAACGCUGGCGGCGCGCCUAACACAUGCAAGUCGAACGGAGCUUAGAGAGCUUGCUUUUUAAGCUUAGUGGCGAACGGGUGAGUAACGCGUGAGUAACCUGCCCUAGAGUGGGGGACAACAGUUGGAAACGACUGCUAAUACCGCAUAAGCCCACGGUACCGCAUGGUACUGAGGGAAAAGGAUUUAUUCGCUUUAGGAUGGACUCGCGUCCAAUUAGCUAGUUGGUGAGGUAACGGCCCACCAAGGCGACGAUUGGUAGCCGGACUGAGAGGUUGAACGGCCACAUUGGGACUGAGACACGGCCCAGACUCCUACGGGAGGCAGCAGUGGGGGAUAUUGCACAAUGGGGGAAACCCUGAUGCGGCGACGCCGCGUGGAGGAAGAAGGUUUUCGGAUUGUAAACUCCUGUCGUUAGGGACGAUAAUGACGGUACCUAACAAGAAAGCACCGGCUAACUACGUGCCAGCAGCCGCGGUAAAACGUAGGUCACAAGCGUUGUCCGGAAUUACUGGGUGUAAAGGGAGCGCAGGCGGGAAGGCAAGUUGGAAGUGAAAUCCAUGGGCUCAACCCAUGAACUGCUUUCAAAACUGUUUUUCUUGAGUACUGCAGAGGUAGGCGGAAUUCCUGGUGUAGCGGUGGAAUGCGUAGAUAUUGGGAGGAACACCAGUGGCGAAGGCGGCUUACUGGGCACCAACUGACGCUGAGGCUCGAAAGUGUGGGUAGCAAACAGGAUUAGAUACCCUGGUAGUCCACACUGUAAACGAUGAUUUGUCAGGUGUUGGAGGAUUUGACCCCCUUCUGGGGCCGCAGCUUAACACAAUAACGUAAUCCGCAGUGGGGAGUGCAGACACGCAAGGUCGAAACUCAAAGGAAUUGACGGGCGGCCCGCACAAGCAGUGGAGUAUGUGGUUUAAUUAGACGCAACGCGAAGAACCUUACCAAGUCUCGUCAUCCUGCGACGCACCUAUACAUAUCUGUUUCCUCAGGGAAGCCGAGACAGGCGGUGCAGGGUUGUCGUCAGCUCGUGUCGUGAGAUGUUGGGUUAAGUCCCGCGACCAGCCCAACCCUUAUGGUCAGUUCGUUCGCACGAGGCCUUUGGCCGGGCUGCCCUGGGCAAACCGGAGGAAGGUGGGGAAGACGUCAAAUCCUCCUGCCCCUUAUGACUUGGGCUACCCCCGUACUUCCAAGGCGUUAAACAAAGAGAAGCAAGCCCGCGAGGGGGAGCAAAUCUCAGAAACAACGUCCCAGUUCGGACUGCAGUCUGCAACUCGCCUGCACGAAGUCGGAAUUGCUAGUAAUCGCAGAUCAGCAUGCCGCGGUGAAUACGUUCCCGGGCCUUGCACACACCGCCCGUCA
rnacentral:rRNA from 1 species